UUUAUCAUGUUUUUAAGCUCAUGUUCCCUUUAUUUCUGGCUCUUUCUUUGGAAUCCUUGCCACAGUUCUCACGGUUCCCUUCUAAGCCUCCCAUAGCUGCAUGGACUGGGCUCCAGGUCAUAGGAUGCCCUACUGGCACAGGACCUCACAGGGGCUCCAGACCACACACUCCAGAGGCUCCAGAAGUUCACAUCAACUUCCGGUGACCAUGGCACUGAUUGACAGAAUUUGUGAAUGGCUCCUCUGAUUUAAGUCAUCUCAUACAUCUUCAUGGAAGACCCUUGUACCCUUUAAGCCAGAGUCUUGCUCUGUUGCCCAGGCUGGAGUG